CGGCUCCCCUGUCCUCAAGAACGCUCUCUGUAUGUGCAUCCUAUCCUCUCAUCAGCCCGGUGUGAUUUCCUCUCGGUCUGCCUCGGUCUGGGCUGGAUACAGCUCAGCAUGCGUAUGGGACUUGAGAUGACAUCACAGCUGCUCACUUGAGAGUUGCCCCCCUCUUUCUCAAAUCAAAACAGGUACUGCAUUAAUAGUCUUUUUGGAUUCAUCUCUUCUAAAGAACUGAAAUGAGUGCUCUGGUUUCUGCCUCGAUCUUCCUUUCUCCAUGAAGGCUGUCCGGGUCAGCCGGUGCCACGGUCUGUCUCACUGCGAUC